GAUGAACGCUGGCGGCGUGCCUAAUACAUGCAAGUCGAGCGAACAGACGAGGAGCUUGCUCCUCUGACGUUAGCGGCGGACGGGUGAGUAACACGUGGAUAACCUACCUAUAAGACUGGGAUAACUUCGGGAAACCGGAGCUAAUACCGGAUAAUAUAUUGAACCGCAUGGUUCAAUAGUGAAAGACGGUUUUGCUGUCACUUAUAGAUGGAUCCGCGCCGCAUUAGCUAGUUGGUAAGGUAACGGCUUACCAAGGCAACGAUGCGUAGCCGACCUGAGAGGGUGGUAGCCCACACGGGAACGUAGACACGGUCCAGACUCCUACGGGAGGCAGCAGUAGGGAAUCUUCCGCAAUGGGCGAAAGCUUGACGGAGCAACGCCGCGUGAGUGAUGAAGGUCUUCGGAUCGUAAAACUCUGUUAUUAGGGAAGAACAAAUGUGUAAGUAACUAUGCACGUCUUGACGGUACCUAAUCAGAAAGCCACGGCUAACUACGUG
rnacentral:rRNA from 1 species